rnacentral:misc_RNA from 1 species
GAUGAAGAACGUAGCGAAAUGCGAUAAGUAAUGUGAAUUGCAGAAUUCAGUGAAUCAUCGAAUCUUUGAACGCACCUUGCGCUCCUUGGUAUUCCGAGGAGCAUGCCUGUUUGAGUGUCAUUAAAUUCUCAACCUCACCAGUUUUGUAACGAGACAGGUGAAGGCUUGGAUGUGGGGGUUUUGCAGGCUGCCUCAGUGCUGGUCUGCUCUCCUGAAAUGCAUUAGCGAGCUCAUAUUGAGCUUCCGUCUAUUGGUGUGAUAAUUAUCUACGCCGUGGAUUGGACUCAUGCUUACUUCUAACCGUCCGCAAGGACAAUUUACUUGACCAAUUUGACCUCAAAUCAGGUAGGACUACCCGCUGAACUUAAGCAUAUCAAUAAGCGGAGGA